CCCAGCACAGCUGGAGCCCGGGAGAGGAAGCGCCUGGCUGGGGGCGCAGGUCCGGAGAUCUGGGGGCUGCCUGGCAAACCGUGAAGCCAGUAGCGCUCGGGCAGCUCCGCUCUUCAGCUGCACAGAGCUGAGGUGUCUGGGGGGAGCAGCAGCAGCCGCCGCCACGGAGGAAUCUGCCUGCAGCUCACAGCCUGCCGGAGCGAAGACCCCUAAAAAAUUUCGAAUGGAGGUGUGAACCCCUUUUGAAAACUUAGACAUAGACUGUGGACCCCGAGUGGACUGUGGACCGCAGGCUGAAAACCACUGGAAGCAAGCCCCACCUGCUUUGGUUGUCACUUUCAGCAAGUAACCAUCCAAGUCAAUCUGAAACUGAGGAGUCUCGCAAG